rnacentral:rRNA from 1 species
UACGAAGGGAGCAAGCGUUAAUCGGAAUUACUGGGCGUAAAGAGUGCGCAGGCGGUUUUGUAAGACAGGUGUGAAAUCCCCGGGCUCAACCUGGGAAUGGCGCUUGUGAUUGCUAAGCUGGAGAGCGGAAGAGGGGGAUGGAAUUCCGCGGGUAGAAGUGAAAUGCGUAGAUAUGCGUAGGAACACCGAUGGCGAAGGCAAUCCCCUGGACCUGCACUGACGCUCAUGCACGAAAGCGUGGGGAGCAAACAGGAUUAGAUACCCUGGUAGUCCACGCCGUAAACGAUGUCAACUGGAUGUUGGGAAUUUACUUACUCAGUAACGAAGCUAACGCGUGAACUUGAGCACCUGGGGAGUACGGCCGCAAGUCUGAAGAUCAAAGGAAUUGACGCGCAACCGCACAAGCGGUGGAUGAUGUGGGUUAAUUCGAUCCAACGCGAAACACCUCAUCCCCCUUUGACAUGUACGGAAGGUACCAGAGAUGGUUUCGUCCUCGAAAGAGAACCCUAACACAGCAGCUGCAUGGCCGUCGUCAGCUCGGAUCGUGAGAUGUAGGGUUAACUCCCACAACGAGCGCAACCCUUACCAGUAGUCGGUAUGAAAGGGCCCUUUAAAGGGACCGCCGGUGACAAACCGGAGGAAGGUGGGGAAGGCGUCCAGUCCUCCUGGCCCUUAUAGGUGGGGCUACCCCCCUCAUACAAUGGCCGGUACCAAGGGUCGCCAGCCCGCGAGGGGGAGCCCAUCCAUCAAAGCCGGUCGUAGUUCGGAUCGCAGUCUGCAACUCGAGUGCGUGAAGUCGGAAUCGCUAGUAAUCGUGGAUCAGCAUGUCACGGUGAAUACGUUCCCGGGUCU